GUUUGGUGCGCGCGGUCCGCCCGCCCUUCGUGGGUUACAGGGUGUGUACCGUUGUGCGCCUGCCAUCUUUGCGGACGCGGCGGCGGGCACUUCACUGGGCCUGUCGUGUCCUGCGCUCUGCAUCUUUUACUUUGAAAAAAUUAGAGUGUUCAAAGCAGGCUUGCGCUAUGAAUACAUUAGCAUGGAAUAAUAAUCUAGGACUUCUGUUCUAUUUUGUUGGUUUCUAGGAUGGAAGUAAUGAUUGAUAGGGAUAGUUGGGGGUGCUAGUAUUCAGCGGCCAGAGGUGAAAUUCUUGGAUUCGCUGAAGACUAACUUAUGCGAAAGCAUU
rnacentral:rRNA from 1 species